GACGAACGCUGGCGGCGUGCUUAACACAUGCAAGUCGAACGGAAAGGCCCUGCUUUUGUGGGGUGCUCGAGUGGCGAACGGGUGAGUAACACGUGAGUAACCUGCCCUUGACUUUGGGAUAACUUCAGGCAACUGGGGCUCAUACCGGAUAGGAGCUCCUGCUGCAUGGUGGGGGUUGGAAAGUUUCGGCGGUUGGGGAUGGACUCGCGGCUUAUCAGAUUGUUGGUGGGGUAGUGGCUUACCAAGGCUUUGACGGGUAGCCGGCCUGAGAGGGUGACCGGCCACAUUGGGACUGAGAUACGACCCAGACUACUACGGGAGGCAGCAGUGGGGAAUAUUGCACAAUGGGCGGAAGCCUGAUGCAGCAACGCAGCGUGCGGGAUGACGGCCAUCGGGUUGUAAACCGCUUUCGCCUGUGACGAAGCGUGAGUGACGGUAAUGGGUAAAGAAGCACCGGCUAACUACGUG
rnacentral:rRNA from 1 species